UACGUAGGGCGCAAGCGUUGUCCGGAAUUAUUGGGCGUAAAGAGCUCGUAGGCGGCUUGUCACGUCGGGUGUGAAAGCCCGGGGCUUAACCCCGGGUCUGCAUUCGAUACGGGCAGGCUAGAGUGUGGUAGGGGAGAUCGGAAUUCCUGGUGUAGCGGUGAAAUGCGCAGAUAUCAGGAGGAACACCAGUGGCGAAGGCGGCUCUCUGGACCGGUACUGACGCUGAGACGCGAAAGCCAGGGGAGCAAACGGG
rnacentral:rRNA from 1 species